GUAAAAGGGCAACAUUUACUUAAAUAUACAUUCCAGUUUGAGCGCCUGGUCCUGGAUGAUGUAUUUACAGAUAAUACACCCUGCACCUAUUCAGAGUGCCAUUCACCCAUCUGCUGCUUUAACAGUGUGCUGAGCUGCUGCCACUAGUCAUCCCCUAUGGCUGCUAUAAGAUAAAAAGGCUAUGGCACAUGUUCUUGUGACAGAAAGUACAGCUACAAUACAGAAAACAAAUACAGAAGAGAAUUUACACGUUUUCACUUUACUGCACAAGAACACAACCCACAGUGACUGCAAGGGAUCCCUGUGAGACAGAAGAGGAUGGUGCCUUGGCGCUCCUAGCAUCCACUUGGGUUGGUGUUAUUUUCAGCAAACCAGAGCACUGGACCAGGAUCUCAAGCAAGUCAUUAUAAUUACUGGGCAGUGCCUAAAAAAUUAGCACCCCUUAGUAUUUAAACUUUUUUUUUCUCUGUCAGUUAAAAUAUGCUGUUUAAAUAUGACUUUAUAUGCCAUUGGUUUAUACUCUUUGAGUAUGUACAGUAAAGGUUGUAGCAGGUUUUAGGCUUCAAAACUAGCUCAGAAAUCAGAAUAAAAUGGUAAGUAUGAGAAGAGCACCCAGCAGGACAAAUAGGAGGGGGGAAAUGGGACCUCAUGGCUGCCUGAAAUGACAUGCAUAGAGUAGCACAUGUGAGGUUGUUAGCCAGGCCUCCCCAAGGAUUUUUUCUGACAUACUUCAGUCUAUUUUUUACGUAUACUCUGUUUGCUGCAGGUUUUUUGGGAGUGUAAUAAAAACUAUUUUAUGUAACAAAAUGCUGCCCAUGUGGGUGCUAUCACAAUGACCUUUGCAAAUCUCAUGACAAAUAGCUACCUGCACAUUUGUUGGGUACAAAUGCAAUAUAUUUUGUCUGUUAUAUAUGUUGUGGUUGCAAUGUCACUGUGUGUUGCUGUGUUUGCCCUAGAUACACAACCAUGCAUAGCUAACAAAUAUUAACUGCCUGGACUCCAGAGAAGGGCAGAAACACAAGUAAGAACAUCCUGCCAAAGCUAAGAUUAUAACAUAGUGUACACACACACACACACACGCAUACGUAGAUAGUAUAAAAACACAUAUCUGUUGAAACCUUGAAAAGCAGUUUUCUGCUCUCUUUUAUACUCUCCCAAUAAGCCGAAUGUUGGCUGCUUUACAGAUCCAUUAGAGAUUACUUUGUAUGCAAAUAUUUUCAUUCUGCUGCUGUACUAUAACAACUAUGACUAGGCUAAUUUAUUUACUUGCAAUUUCGCUGGGUUGGUUUAUUUCUGCUCCUUGUAUAGACCUGUGUCAUAUUUCAAAAAGCCUUCAUUGCUUUAUUUUUAUCCAGUGGAAUAAUUUAUGUUUGGAUAUUUAUCCAGGAUAAACAUAUCUUGUGAUCUGAGGUGAUCCUGCCGCCUGAGGCAUCUUGCUGCUGCCCCCCUACCCCGUACUCACCUUUUUGGUGCCGGAAUUCUAGCAUAGCAAAAAUGUGUUUUCUGAGGUGAUGCAUCACGCUACACCAUCUGGAAAUUAUUAUUAACAUAUUGCGCAACUCUCUUCUCUGUGUAUUCAGAGGCUAAGACCACUGAUUCCAGUGGAAGCAAACAUGCUACAAUUCCAUUCUUGAUAAUUCCAUUCUUGACAAUUCCAUACUUUUGGAAAAGGCCUUUUGCACUUCCGGCAUGAUAGUAUCCCAUGUAAAAAACAAGGUCCAAGGAGAACUGGAAUGCUGAAAUGGGAAUGAUAGUACUUGACUGCCCUACAUGGAGGCCUGACCUCAUCCCAACUGAACACCCGUGGGAUGAAUCGGAAAUGUCAUUGGGUAUUAUUCCUAAUUUAUAUAGCAUUUUCUACAUCUUUUUUUUUUGCAAGAUUGUUUAUAAUUCACAUCAAUCCCUAUACCGGUAGCUUACAGUCUAAGGUUGAUACCACACACAUACCAUAUAACCAGCCAAUUAACCUGUAGGGAUAAUUUACUAAGCUGAAUGCAGGCUGCAAAGUCCCCAAAAAGGCAUUUUCUGCAAUUUUCACAAUGCGUUUGGCUGUUUCAGAGUGCAGACAGUGUCGGAAAAAACCCAGUGGGCCCCGACCCUUAUGGGCCGGGCCAGACCCCUCUUCAGAUACUCCAAUCCUGCGGAAAAAAAUUCUUUCUGCGCCGCGCAGUAAUAAGGGGCAUGCUCUUGCACCGCUUAUCGCUGGUGCACUUCUGUCCCCAGGGUAAUUAUAUGAGCCCCAGUAUGUUGUUGGAGUGAGGGGGAAAGCCAAAGCAUCCAGGUGAAAGCCAUGCUUGUAGAUCAUCAAAAUUUAACCCAGGGUCCUAGCUCUGCCAUUUGAAAGUGUGAAUCACCACAUUGCCAUGGUGUUAUCUUAAUGAACAAAUUAAAUAAUUUAUUAAGUAAUUCAUUGAUUGCAGGUUCCAUGCUAACUUUUCCAGAGGCCCAUAGCUGAUUGCCUGAGCUCUAUUAUUUGCCUUUCUAUUUGUCUACUAGGACACUGGCACACAAGGAAAUGUGUUAGUUGUGGAUUAAUCUGUGCUACCGUGGGCAACAAAUCUCCUGAUAAUGCCUUCCUCCAAGUAAAACACAUUACUUGCGGCAAUCCUGGUAAAUCACAUGAAAUUGCCUUCAUCUUUUCCCCCCAUUAAGCUGGGCUAUUUAUCUCUUUUGUGUAGGUCAUCGCUAGAUUUACACUGGCACUGUUUGGAACUAAGGGGUCCGUUUACUAAAGUGCGUUAAAAAUAUUCGCACAAUAUAUAGACAGAAU